rnacentral:sRNA from 1 species
UUGUUUUGUUGAUAAAAUGUGAAAAACGUAAAUAUAUCAACUUUUAUUCCAAAAUAAUAAUCUAUUAGAAACAUAUGAGUAUUUAACUAUUUAUAAAUUUUUUUUACUGUUUAGCUUUGUAUUGAGAUAUGGAAAAAUGGUAUGGAGAACCAAAGAUCGACCGAGACGACAAGGCUAAAAUAUAAGUCUUGAAAACAUUUUUUUUCAUUCUUAUGUUUUGCUUGGUUUUUGCUUAUUAUUUGCUUGGGACGAAUUAGAAGAUGGAAGGUGAGACUGGCUUAACUCAUGGAUGUUUCUUAACAUUUUGAAGGUUUGAGUGGUUUUCUAGACACAUCCACUUAUGUAUUGAUUGAACAUUGUAAAUAAAUUAUAACUUGUAAUUUUAUUUAAAUGGAUGCUUAAGUAGACGAUGUCACACUGAUAUCGGUAUUCUGAAUAGAGAGAAAACUUUUCUAUUAUAUAUUGAUUUUGGUUUUGGAUUCAAUAACAUUUAAGAAAAAACAGUUACCGAUUUUAUUAAAUACUUAUAAUAACUCUGGUAAAUUUCCUAAAUACAAAUUAUUGGAGUGAGGAGUAAAAGUCUAUCUCCACAGAAGACAUUAUGAACAUCAAAUUAGCCAGAAAAACACCAAAGGGGUUAUCAAGUUAUAAACAUCAAAAUUCACACAGAAGGAAAACUCCUUUUCUCUAUACACUUCUCUUAAACUUUAACCCCCAAAAGCUCAGCCAUUUCGCAACUAAACCCACCACUAUUGCUGAAUUG